CGCGUGCGACUGGCGGAUGAGUGGGGAACCACAGGGGAGCACGCUGAGAUCUUGAGCCGACCGCCUGGGCGCC
rnacentral:ncRNA from 1 species